rnacentral:rRNA from 1 species
GGAAUAUUGCACAAUGGGCGCAAGCCUGAUGCAGCGACGCCGCGUGAGGGAUGACGGCCUUCGGGUUGUAAACCUCUUUCAGUAGGGAAGAAGCGUAAGUGACGGUACCUGCAGAAGAAGCGCCGGCUAACUACGUGCCAGCAGCCGCGGUAAUACGUAGGGCGCAAGCGUUAUCCGGAAUUAUUGGGCGUAAAGAGCUCGUAGGCGGUUUGUCGCGUCUGCCGUGAAAGUCCGGGGCUCAACUCCGGAUCUGCGGUGGGUACGGGCAGACUAGAGUGAUGUAGGGGAGACUGGAAUUCCUGGUGUAGCGGUGAAAUGCGCAGAUAUCAGGAGGAACACCGAUGGCGAAGGCAGGUCUCUGGGCAUUAACUGACGCUGAGGAGCGAAAGCAUGGGGAGCGAACAGGAUUAGAUACCCCUG